rnacentral:lncRNA from 1 species
AGUGAAUAUGAAUUAUUAGAGUCCUUUCGUUUACCUUUGGGGGGCCUCAGAGGUAUUAAUUCAAUAAUGAGGAAUUGCAGGGGGACAUCUUGAUAAUUGCAGUUGAGCCGAGAGCCGAUCUGUCUCUAGAAGGUUUCCAUGUUCUUUGAGGGCAUUCUGCCUCCACUGUCCCCCCGCCCUUUACUCCUUUCACUGUCAUCGAGGAGUGGCGGGUAUUCUUGUCCAGACAGAUUUGGAUACACAAAAGCUGCCCACCCAGCCUGGUCCCAUCUAGUCUUAUUUUUUAAAGUCUCUGAAUUUCCACACUGGAAUGUUUCUGCAAUUCUCAAAUAGAUUAUUUGAGGGCUGUGAAAUGUUAUGGAUGGGCCCCCUUUUGGCAGAAUUUUAAGUAAUCAACCGACUUGGAUUCUCAAUUUUUCUUGUGUUAGGUGGCUAUCUAGAAGUCAAACCAAACCUAGAUACCAGUGCUAGUAAUGACAACCCCAGUGUGUAUAUCUGAAAGGCAUAGAUGUCAUUUUUAGACCAUGGUAGCUGCCACAUUUCAGGUAAAGGUCUCUACUAAAACUGCUUUCUAUUAACAAU